rnacentral:rRNA from 1 species
CCUACGGGAGGCUGCAGUAGGGAAUAUUGCACAAUGGGGGAAACCCUGAUGCAGCGACGCCGCGUGAGUGAAGAAGUAUCUCGGUACGUAAAGCUCUAUCAGCAGGGAAGAAAAUGACGGUACCUAACUAAGAAGCACCGGCUAACUACGUGCCAGCAGCCGCGGUAAUACGGAGGGGGCAAGCGUUAUCCGGAUUUACUGGGUGUAAAGGGAGCGUAGACGGCAGCGCAAGUCUGGAGUGAAAUCCCGGGGCUUAACCCCGGAACUGCUUUGGAAACUGUUCGGCUGGAGUGUAGGAGGGGUAAGCGGAAUUCUUAGUGUAGCGGUGAAAUGCGUAGAGAUUAGGAGGAACACCGGUGGCGAAGGCGGCUUACUGGACUGUAACUGACGUUGAGGCUCGAAAGCGUGGGGAGCAAACAGGAUUAGAUACCCCGGUAGUC